rnacentral:rRNA from 1 species
GUGGGGAAUAUUGGACAAUGGGCGAAAGCCUGAUCCAGCCAUGCCGCGUGUGUGAAGAAGGUCUUCGGAUUGUAAAGCACUUUAAGUUGGGAGGAAGGGCAGUAAGUUAAUACCUUGCUGUUUUGACGUUACCGACAGAAUAAGCACCGGCUAACUUCGUGCCAGCAGCCGCGGUAAUACGAAGGGUGCAAGCGUUAAUCGGAAUUACUGGGCGUAAAGCGCGCGUAGGUGGUGUUGUAAGUUGGAGGUGAAAUCCCCGGGCUCAACCUGGGAACUGCCUGCAAAACUGCAUGACUAGAGUACGGUAGAGGGUAGUGGAAUUUCCUGUGUAGCGGUGAAAUGCGUAGAUAUAGGAAGGAACACCGGUGGCGAAGGCGACUACCUGGACUGAUACUGACACUGAGGUGCGAAAGCGUGGGGAGCAAACAGGAUUAGAAACCCUGUAGUCC